AAGUUUGAUCAUGGCUCAGAACGAACGCUGGCGGCAUGCCUAACACAUGCAAGUCGAACGGGAUCCUGGCUUCGGUCAGGUGAGAGUGGCGGACGGGUGAGUAACGCGUGGGAACCUGCCCAGUGGUGGGGGAUAACUGCGGGAAACUGCAGCUAAUACCGCAUGAGCCCGAGAGGGGAAAGAUUUAUCGCCAUUGGAGGGGCCCGCGUUCGAUUAGGUAGUUGGUGAGGUAACGGCUCACCAAGCCGACGAUCGAUAGCUGGUCUGAGAGGAUGAUCAGCCACACUGGGACUGAGAUACGGCCCAGACUCCUACGGGAGGCAGCAGUGGGGAAUAUUGGACAAUGGGGGCAACCCUGAUCCAGCAAUGCCGCGUGAGUGAUGAAGGCCUUCGGGUUGUAAAGCUCUUUUGCCGGGGACGAUGAUGACGGUACCCGGAGAAUAAGCCCCGGCUAACUUCGUG
rnacentral:rRNA from 1 species